GAAUGAACAUCCGAUCAGCAUGUUUGUGAAGAACACCCCUCAAGAAUUCAGGACAAGGCAAGAGCUGAGGGGCUCAAAUUAACUCAUUUGACCUCUAACCAUGAAGUGCCAUUCAAAAUCUUGGAGCACCAAAUUAGAACAGAAACUGAUGAAGACAAAAACAAGAUCUGAUCAGAAAACAAAAAGCUCUUCAUCAGACUAAAGCUAAAAUUGAGGAAAUUGUAAAAGUUAUCACUCAGGACUUUCCUCAGUUUGAGGAUGAUUUGGGUGGAGACUAUUCUCAGAUGGAUUUACAUGCAUUCAAAACUGUAGCUGAGCAUUUCAGGACAACCUGUUUUGACUGGCACGAGAAAGAGUUUCAGAUCGCCUUGUCCUACAUGCAUGUAUUUGCUCGUCUCUGUGCACGUGGAUUUAAAGCAGAGAGAAUCAUAGAGGCUAUAACAGAGAAGACUUCAAAGUGAUUCUGGUUUAAGGGAUGCUU